rnacentral:rRNA from 1 species
AUUGAACGCUGGCGGCAGGCCUAACACAUGCAAGUCGAGCGGGGUUUUCGGACCUAGCGGCGGACGGGUGAGUAAUGCGUAGGAAGCUACCCGACAGAGGGGGAUACCAGUUGGAAACGACUGUUAAUACCGCAUAAUGUCUACGGACCAAAGUGUGGGACUCUCGGGCCACAUGCUAUCGGAUGCGCCUACGUGGGAUUAGCUAGUUGGUGAGGUAAUGGCUCACCAAGGCGACGAUCCCUAGCUGGUUUGAGAGGAUGAUCAGCCACCCUGGAACUGAGACACGGUACGGACUCCUACGGGAGGCAGCAGUGGGGAAUAUUGGACAAUGGGCGCAAGCCUGAUCCAGCCAUGCCGCGUGUGUGAAGAAGGCCUUCGGGUUGUAAAGCACUUUCAGCGAGGAGGAAGGGUGGUGUGUUAAUAGCACAUCAUUUUGACGUUACUCGCAGAAGAAGCACCGGCUAACUCUGUGCCAGCAGCCGCCGUAAAAC